AAACAGCAGUCGAACGAACAUAUAAACAUCACGGAAUUGGUGGAAAGGCAUCGUGUUAAUGGCGAAGGGGAAAAGCGUUGUCUAAAGACGUGGUCAGACCUAUUUUAGUACCCAAGAGGUUCAGUGAUCAGUUUCAACGGAUCUCUUUUGUAUUUCAUAAAAAUCGAGUUUUCUGGAAGUGCGUGAUUUCAUGGAGAUGUAGCAAAAACGAACAGAGAAAAGUUAAGAAACGAUAUAAUUCCU
rnacentral:lncRNA from 1 species